GAUGAACGCUAGCUACAGGCUUAACACAUGCAAGUCGCGGGGCAGCAUGGGGGUUGCUUGCAAUCCCCGAUGGCGACCGGCGCACGGGUGAGUAACGCGUAUCCAACCUGCCCUUCACCACGGGAUAACCCGGCGAAAGUCGGACUAAUACCGUAUGUUGUCCAUUGACGGCAUCCGAUUUGGACGAAAGGCUUGGCGGUGAGGGAUGGGGAUGCGUCCGAUUAGCCAGACGGCGGGGUAACGGCCCACCGUGGCUACGAUCGGUAGGGGUUCUGAGAGGAAGGUCCCCCACACUGGAACUGAGACACGGUCCAGACUCCUACGGGAGGCAGCAGUGAGGAAGAUUGGUCAAGGGGCGUAAGCCUGAACCAGCCAAGUAGCGUGCAGGAUGACGGCCCUAUGGGUUGUAAACUGCUUUUAUGCGGGGAUAAAGUGGCCCACGUGUGGGCUUUUGCAGGUACCGCAUGAAUAAGGACCGGCUAAUUCCGUG
rnacentral:rRNA from 1 species